AUUGAACGCUGGCGGCAUGCUUUACACAUGCAAGUCGGACGGCAGCACAGAGAAGCUUGCUUCUUGGGUGGCGAGUGGCGAACGGGUGAGUAACAUAUCGGAACGUACCGAGUAGUGGGGGAUAACUGAUCGAAAGAUCAGCUAAUACCGCAUACGUCUUGAGAGGGAAAGCAGGGGACCUUCGGGCCUUGCGCUAUUCGAGCGGCCGAUAUCUGAUUAGCUAGUUGGUGGGGUAAAGGCCUACCAAGGCGACGAUCAGUAGCGGGUCUGAGAGGAUGAUCCGCCACACUGGGACUGAGACACGGCCCAGACUCCUACGGGAGGCAGCAGUGGGGAAUUUUGGACAAUGGGCGCAAGCCUGAUCCAGCCAUGCCGCGUGUCUGAAGAAGGCCUUCGGGUUGUAAAGGACUUUUGUCAGGGAAGAAAAGGCUGUUGCUAAUAUCAUCAGCUGAUGAC
rnacentral:rRNA from 1 species